UUUCCAAUUCAGAAAUUGCAAUACGAUAAGUUGCAACUGCGAUAACUGCAGCGAUAAAAGUAAAAAUAGUUGCAAAGAAUGAGAAGACGUUGAGAAAGAGGGGACCAAAAAAUGGAAGGCAAGAAAUAACGAUUGAAACUAUUGUCAGAGCAAAGAAAAUAAAUCCAAGAAUAUACAUGGCUCGCAUAGCAUAACAUGCCCCUUUAAGCACUUUUAAUCCUAAAUCCACCUCGGAAGGUAAAGUGAUGUUAAUUUGGCUACCAGUUGCAUUAUUAAUACUGGUUUCCAGCAUUGUAAGGGGGUUGAAGUAAUAACUAGGAGAAGGAGUACUACAAUAAGUAGGAUUUGUAUAAUCAGACGAAUUUCCCUGACAAUAAUUCCAAAGACCAAUGGAGUACCAGUCCGGGAGUUCAGACACGUCCUUCAUCUCCUGCUCAACUUGUUCGAUUAAAUCAGUAGCACCUUGAUCAAUAUAUGUUUCGAGCGUGUCUACCAGUGUUCCAGUAAGCUCGUUAAGUAGGUUGCUUGUAUUAUUGACAACAGCAGUUUGAUUGGCGACAGAAAAGAUAGAUGUAGUAUUCAGUUGAAUAAAGUAAAUAUUUUGAAAAGCAAUGUUAUGCUGAGUUUGAUUGAUGAUGCAUAGAAUUGACAAAAGCGCGCCAACUCCAACGCAAACGGUACCAAUACCAGUGAACAAAGCUUUAAUAGGAUUGAACCCCAUUCCCAUUUUGACAAACAGUUAUAUCAAAAACCAAUUUGCUUGGGAUGACAAAAAGAAAGAAUAAUAUAUAUGAUUAUAUAUAAUAGAUAUCACGAUUAAUAAGGAAAACUGAUAUGUAGUCUCCAGAAAUAAACAAUUCUUCAAGAAGCUGGGAAGAAGAAGGACAAAAAAUCGGCUGAAAAAUAGAGGGAAACACUUCAAAAACGCUGUUGUAAAACGAAUUUCUUUGAAAUUAAUACGAUUUAACGCGAGGAUAUUGAGUAAACAAGAUAGUAUGGAUAGUAAACAAAAGAGAGAGAACUGGUUUUUUUUUUCAAUCGUAAAGGCAAGUAGCUGAUUGUUUCUUAACCUUUUAUACGCAUCAGAGGCGCAAUCUCUUAAAGUCUUAAUCUUCUGUAAAUUUGGAAUGCCACAAUUG